ensembl:lincRNA
GGGUCAGAUUUUUUUGCGGAUCUUAAAUUUUUGCUUGCGAGUUGAAAAGUUUUGAACUCUUCAGCACAGGGGGCGGUAUCUUCCCUCUGGGAUGAGAGGCCUUUUUCCAUUGGUCAAACUGGAUUGACGUCACAUGUUGGCCACGCCCACUACAUUUUCGCGCGAUUGGACUCCCUAACAGUUAGAUGAACGAGCGAUGGCGAGCAACAGGUCUACUUCGAGGUAAGUUAACAAAAACUGUAUAACUUGUAUAUUAUUAUCCACAUGUCCCAUCGAAUAACAUAACGACUGCUAUUAUUAGCUCGGAGUACUUCGUAAUAUAGAUGAAUAAUCUCGAUUAACUUACAUUUGCUGUCGGCCUUCAGUAGUGCACAGCUGCAAUAGGCAACGGAAGGCCGCUGUAUGUUAUUUUGGAAAAUAUACAUUAAUGUACCGUCACUGUAAAAACAGGCUUUGCUUAUGUCUAUAGAUGACAGCUUUAAAAUCACUGGUUUUAGUGAAGCCGGACAUCAGAGUAAAUAAACAUUUGUGAAAGCUAAUGUUAAUAUGGUGCCGCAGGGGCGGCCUGGUACUAGAGGUCUGCAUUCCCGUGCAGAUCUCUACCUGGGACAGUAUUUUUGACCGGGAGAGAUUGAGGUAAAAUAGGUUUGAUAUUCGUACAUUCGUUCCUUUAACAGCCCAUAUAUUGUUUACCACGCUAAGUUUAAUAUUGAGUCUGAUAUAGCAUGCAAGGAUAACGUUAACUUCAAAACAAUGUUAGCACUAUGUAAUUGACUGUGAACAAUGUUGUAACCUUACUUUGAUAUUCAUUAACUGCUAAUAUGAUUUCCUUUUUAAAAUUUGCAAAAAAAAACUUUUGUGAAAGCCAGAUUCACAGUGGCAGGCCAGGUAGACUAUUGGGUCCGUCCCACCCUUUGGCCAGUCUGCCCCUGUUGUGUCUAUUUAAAGAUAUAUAAAUUGUCAAUCUCAUUUUCUUUCUAUUCUUACAGAAUGGAAAACCAAGCAGGCAGAUCGCAGCAACCGUAUGACCAACGUGCCAUUACGGAAGCUGCACAGCAUUUUAUGUCCUUGGUGGCAAGAGUUAUACCAGAUGAAAACUCAAGACAGGGCCAGACUCAGAUCCAACCCCAGCAGUCAGAAAGGGCCACAGUGGAGCAUGAAAUGGCUAGAUCCUUUCCUGGUUUUUUUAAAAAUGCUGGCAAAUAUAAACGACAGCUUGCUAAAAGUCACAAGCCUGUAAUCCCAGCAAAGGCACAAAAGAGAUUUGCUUUCUCUGUUUCUUUGCUGGGAUCUAAAUCAGAAACAACCCCAUCCCUGUCGGAAGAGCUCGAGUUAAUGCAAGCAGGUUUAGGGAAGAGGACCCUGUCCUUAACUUCAGAUUCAACACAUCCAGAGUUGUCAAAUUUGUUACGGGAAACCUAUCCAAAAAUGAAUGAUUUGGAAGACAGAUGGCUAAUUUUCAAAGCGGCAGGUGGAAAUGGACGAAGGAGACUGUCCGCUGUACCAUUGGAUUCAGAGGGGUAUACAGGAUCACUAAUCAAAAAUGCCUCAGGUGGAGGAAAAAAUUUACUCUACAUCGUACCACUUCAAGAUGAGCUUGAUUUGACGCCACUGUUGAUGCCACCAGAUGCACCUGAAAUUGCAAGAAUGCCAAAGGCUCAUUGUAAAAAAUGCAAUACUUUGAUGCCUCUUCAGACAUUGGCUUUGCAUGCUGAACAGUGUGACAACUUGGAAACUUCUGAAAAUGAGGAAGAUGAUUUGGUGUUGAUAGAGGAGACAGCGUCUUCAAGGCAAAAUAUUGCACCUUCUAAUGAUGCAACAUCAUCCAAUGUUAAACCAUACGCUCAGGAGGUACACUGCACAUGCUAAAACUACACAUUCAUUUGUGACCUUGGAACACAAAAUCAGUUAAAAGUGUAAUUUUUGGAAACUGGCAUUUAAACAUCAUCUGAAAUCUGAAUAAAGUUUUCCGUGGUUUGUUAGGAUGGGAUAAUAUUUGGCUGAGAUACAACUAUUAGAAUAUAUGGAAUCAGAGGUUGCAUCACUUUUAAAGUAAUUCAAAUGAAGUUUUUAGCAAUGCACAGUACUAAUCAAAACUUGAUUGCUAAUGUAUUUACCGUAGGAAAUUUACUAAAUAGCAUAAUGAAACAAUCUUUAUUUUAAAUUAUAAUGAUUUUUGACAAAAAUCAGAAAGUCAUUAAUUGUUUAGCUUUUGCCAAACAUGCCUGUGCAAUAUAAGACUGGCUUUGUGUUCCAUGGUCACAGUUAGUAAUUACUUUUUUAUAAAAAAAAAUCACUCCAGCAUACUUUUUUUGUAUAUAUAUUUAGGCACUUGAGGCCCAGUGCCCAAUUUGCACAGACACAUUUCUUGUUUCAGAACUAGAAGUACAUGCCAGCUUUUGUGGAGAAAGGUAAUACUUGUAGUUACUCACUUUAAAGCUUAAAAACAAUGUUUUCUAUAUAACAAAAAGAUUAGAUCGGAACUAUGUUACCUAUCCUUUCUCAAUUUUAAUGUAAUAUUGAUAACAGUCCUCAUAACAAAUCAUUAAACUACUUGUGUAUUUUUAUGGGUUUAGAAUGGCAGGAGGUUAAAUAAAAACUUUCCAUUUUAUUUAAACACAAUUUCUUUAUUUGAUAAAAAGCAGUCCAUAUGAAGUGAGAGAAGAACAACCCUCCUUUGGUUUUGAUAACAUCUCAUGGUAAGCUAGUAAGCGGUAAUCUAAUUAUUGUCUUGUCAAAACAAUACACUACAGAGGUUGUAAAUGUUUUUUUUUAUUACAGUGAGGAGGACGUAAUUCAAUAUGCAGCAGCACAGAUAAAUGCCACAAAAACAUUUGAAUUAUGCGUGUCACGAGAAAAUAUGGUUGAGAGAGGUCUAAAGAUGUGGAAACGGCAAAAAACAGGAAGCCCUGUCAAUCCCUUGAAAAUUAGCUUCCUGGGAGAACCCGGAGUUGACACAGGGGCACUGAGGAAAGAGUUUCUUACCAGUGUGUAGUAUGCUUUUAAAUAUACCCUAAAAUUGUUUUCAACCCAACCCCUAUAUAUUUAUAUACACAAGCUGUUCUGUCACUUUGUUGCCUAAAACUUCCCUUUUCCCCUCACACAUUUAGCAAUUGUUGCCGGCUUUGAAAAACGUCUCUUUGAAGGUGAUUCAAAGAAUGGAAAAAUGCCUAAGUACUCCCUGAAUGAUCUCGAUAAUGAGCUGUUCAAGUAAGUGUCUUACCUUUUGGAUUAAAGCUUCACUUCAUAUUUACAAAAUUCAUUUUCAAUAAUUUAACGCUUGGUAAAUAAUGUUGGGAUUUUAAUUAUAGCAGUAAUUUUUGUGUUGAUAAAUGUGUAUUUGAAGUGAAGCACUACAAACAAAUGUCAUCUGUAUAUGGUAUAAUUAAUGAUGAAUCAUUUAUAUAAGUAAAUGAUUAUACUAUAAGUAGUAUAAUGCCCUUUCAUCAUCUAUUGCUAACAUAUAUAUAUAUUUGAACUAGAGUUGCAGGUGAAAUAUUUGCUGUGAGCAUUGCCCAAGGAGGACCAGCCCCACGGUUUAUGCAAGAAU